UACGAAGGGGGCUAGCGUUGCUCGGAAUUACUGGGCGUAAAGCGCACGUAGGCGGCUUUCUAAGUCGGGGGUGAAAUCCUGGAGCUCAACUCCAGAACUGCCUUCGAUACUGGAGAGCUCGAGUCCGGGAGAGGUGAGUGGAACUGCGAGUGUAGAGGUGAAAUUCGUAGAUAUUCGCAAGAACACCAGUGGCGAAGGCGGCUCACUGGCCCGGUACUGACGCUGAGGUGCGAAAGCGUGGGGAUCAAACAGG
rnacentral:rRNA from 1 species